GACGAACGCUGGCGGCGUGCUUAACACAUGCAAGUCGAACGGUGAAGCGCCUUCCUUUUUGGUGGGUGUGGAUGAGUGGCGAACGGGUGAGUAACACGUGAGUAACCUGCCCCCUUCUUCUGGAUAACCGCAUGAAAGUGUGGCUAAUACGGGAUAUUCUGGGUCUGUCGCAUGAUGGGUCUGGGCAAGAUAUUGUUUCGGUGGGGGAUGGGCUCGCGGCCUAUCAGCUUGUUGGUGGGGUGAUGGCCUACCAAGGCGGGGACGGGUAGCCGGCCUGGGAGGGUGGGCGGCCACACUGGGACGGAGACACGGACCAGACUCCUACGGGAGGCAGCAGGGGGGAAUAGUGCACAAUGGGCGCAAGGCUGAUGCAGCGACGCCGCGUGAGGGAUGGAGGCCUUCGGGUUGUGAACCUCUUUCGCCAGUGAAGCAGGCCUGCCUCGUUUGUGGGUGGGUUGACGGUAGCUGGAUAAGAAGCGCCGGCUAACUACGUG
rnacentral:rRNA from 1 species